GAUGAACGCUGGCGGCGUGCCUAAUACAUGCAAGUCGAGCGAAUGGAUUAAGAGCUUGCUCUUAUGAAGUUAGCGGCGGACGGGUGAGUAACACGUGGGUAACCUGCCCAUAAGACUGGGAUAACUCCGGGAAACCGGGGCUAAUACCGGAUAACAUUUUGAACCGCAUGGUUCGACAUUGAAAGGCGGCUUCGGCUGUCACUUCUGGAUGGACCCGCGUCGCAUUAGCUAGUUGGUGAGGUAACGGCUCACCAAGGCAACGAUGCGUAGCCGACCUGAGAGGGUGAUCGGCCACACUGGGACUGAGACACGGCCCAGACUCCUACGGGAGGCAGCAGUAGGGAAUCUUCCGCAAUGGACGAAAGUCUGACGGAGCAACGCCGCGUGAGUGAUGAAGGCUUUCGGGUCGUAAAACUCUGUUGUUAGGGAAGAACAAGUGCUAGUUGAAUAAGCUGACACCUUGACGGUACCUAACCAGAAAGCCACGGCUAACUACGUGCCAGCAGCCGCAGUAA
rnacentral:rRNA from 1 species